rnacentral:rRNA from 1 species
GACGAACGCUGGCGGCGUGCCUAAUACAUGCAAGUAGGACGCUGAAGGAGGAGCUUGCUUCUCUGGAUGAGUUGCGAACGGGUGAGUAACGCGUAGGUAACCUGCCUGGUAGCGGGGGACAACUAUUGGAAACGAUAGCUAAUACCGCAUAAUAGUAGAUGUUGCAUGACAUUUGCUUAAAAGGUGCAAUUGCAUCACUACCAGAUGGACCUGCGUUGUAUUAGCUAGUUGGUGGGGUAACGGCUCACCAAGGCGACGAUACAUAGCAGACCUGAGAGGGGGAGCGGCCGCACUGAGACGGUGACACGGCCCAGACGCCUACAGGAAGCAGCAGUAGGGAUACUUCGGCAAUGGACGGAAGUCUGACCGAGCAGCGCGGAGUGAGUGAAGAAGGUCUUCGGAUCGUAAAGCACGGUUGUAAGAGAAGAACGAGUGUGAGAGUGGAAAGUACACACUGUGACGGUAUCUUAUCAGAAAGGGACGGCUAACUACGUG